rnacentral:tRNA from 1 species
GCGGAAGUGGCGGAAUUGGUAGACGCACCAGAUUUAGUUCUGGCGCCGCAAGGUGUGAGAGUUCAGUCUCUCCUUCCGCACCA